UACGAAGGGGGCUAGCGUUGCUCGGAAUCACUGGGCGUAAAGCGCACGUAGGCGGCUUGUUAAGUCAGGGGUGAAAUCCUGGAGCUCAACUCCAGAACUGCCUUUGAUACUGAGGAUCUUGAGUACGGGAGAGGUGAGUGGAACUGCGAGUGUAGAGGUGAAAUUCGUAGAUAUUCGCAAGAACACCAGUGGCGAAGGCGGCUCACUGGCCCGUAACUGACGCUGGGGCACGAAAGCGUGGGGAGCAAACAGG
rnacentral:rRNA from 1 species